UUUCUGUCAAAAUCAUUUGUAAGAAAUUGCAUUUUGAAAAUUGAGUCUAAAAUGUAGCUUUGUUGUUUUCAUCUAAAUUCCCUUGAACUAGUGAAUUUAUUCACUCUCUUGAUUUUGUUGUUUUUCGUCCGUCGUCGUCGGUCGCGAGCAAACGAGCGUUUUUGGGGCCCCCGAUGUUAUUGUUUGGUUGUGUGUGUACGCGUAUGUGUUGGAAAAAAAUUGAAGCCAUCUGUCACUAUAGCCGUACUCCUCUAACACAGGCUACAUUGCGCCAUUGGCCAACAAGGUGCCAUCUCUGUUUGCAGAACUAACUAAACAACAGAUAUCGUUAGCCAACACUGGCAUUCAAUGUACAAGAAUCAGAGCGCGCAAUUUAAAUUUGAAAAGCCAAAAACAUCGAUUUAAUCAAACACAAUGGCUAAAAACACAAAUAAAACAUAAAAUUGAAUGAUAAAAUUAAAAUGGCGACACAGCGCUUUAGAUACAAUAGACAAAUGUCCAAAAGAACAGAUUAAAGACCAAAAAGGCGAGCGGAAAUAUGAAACGCGCCCGGCUAUCAAUCCAAAUGGCGAUUUCCUGUGGAGUGAGUGUUGUCCAGCCGGUGGAAGCAAUCUGUUCCUCAUGGCUGAACUCUUCACCUAAGAGAUUGUUACAGCUGCUAAAAUCGGGCAGCUCCAUGCUGGUUGCAGCAGCAACAGGAGCAGCAGCCGUAGUUACAGUAGCGCCCAAGGCACUUUCCACAAACGUCACAUCUAGCUUGCGAUUGGUGCUGCUCAACAUAUGAAGGCUAUUUUUCCGGCUCGGAGCCGUUUGCGGGCCCAUCACUUGGCCCUCGGUAAUGGUCGAAAUGGGUAAAUUGACCGUCAAAUAGUUGUUGAACGGUUGAUUGCCGCCCAGCGAGCUGCUGUCCGGCUGGCGUCCAGUUCCUGAAAAGGAAAGGGAGCGGGCGUGGCUGCGGCGACGCAUCAAAUGCGGCGAUAGCGUCGACUUAAG